rnacentral:tRNA from 1 species
GGUAGCACAACUGAGUGGUUUGAGGGACUGGAUUAAGGCUUAAGUCUCUCUGGAGGGUGUGGAUUCAAAUCCCACUGCUGCCA